CUCCUCUGACUAUUUUUGGUCAUAUGAAUAUUAUUGGGAUUAUAUAGAUCCAAUUCCAGUAGAUGGAAGCAAGUUGAAGGUUAAUAAAUAUCAAAAAAACCCGGUUAAUAUUGAACAAUCUUGAAACGCAUCUGCAAAGAGAAGUGUGUUUACCGUCUUUUAUAUCAAAGGAAAAUGCUGGCAAAACCACAAAUAUGACGUCACAUUUCUGCACGAGUUGCCUGCUUUCAGCUGGGGCUGACAAAUAUUUUAACAGAAGCUACAGUCCUCCGUGAAGGCCACAGCAGCUUUUUGGUGAGGUGGAGAGGAUGGGUUUAGCUCAGCUGGACCAGAGUCAGAAGGGCCACUUGCACUCCUUCCCCCUUCUGUGGGCCUCUGCUCUCUCCACCUCUCCUCACCUGUGGAGCUCCACCAAACCCAGGCAGAACCAGGCGAAGGUCCAUGAGAGGGUGAGGAACCCUUAAAAGCUCCAGGAAGCACAAAACCAGGACUGCAGAGUUGGGCUGAGGAAGGCAGCAAGAGCUGGAAUAGAUGUAAGGCUGCAUAUAGCUAGUUGCUGGGCUGAGGGCAACACAAAACUCAUUUGAAACUUGAGGAGAAGCUGAAGAGAUUCCACGUUCCCAAGCAGGCAGGAAGAGCUCCUAUGGUGAAGUGCUGCCAGCGCAGCCUUAUGCUGGUAUAGGGAACGUGGGCUGUGAUGUUACCAGAAAGUGGGUGGGUUGGGCUGCAUUAAAAAAGCCUUUAACAGAAGAGACAGACCAGACCACCAGGCAUGUGUUUGUAUUGCGUUGGGAUUGGUUUGAAUCUUCAAAUUUUUUGAUCUCCGAGAUAAACACUUCUGCAGUUUGCUUUCUGAGCAAACUGACUACUACUAGUGUUGGGUUUGGAAACCUGUCAAGGUGUAAAGUCUGUUGAGUCAGACUGAGUCACGGGCAGAUGGAGAAAAUGAGGAAAGGCUGCAGGAACUGAAGGUGCAACAUGGACAGAGACAUAUCAGAGAACCAGCCAUUUCCACCAGGCAACUCAGGUGGCCACAACAGCCUUCCCCUCCCCUUAGAUACCUUUACCUUUUGCUAGAGCUCGGGUAGCUCCCGCAGGAGACAUGAACCGGCUCCCCCGUUGGCACCAGCUCUCCUGCUGCAAUCACACAGUAUCACCAAAGACAGCCUGAAGAGGACCCAACAUCUAGACCUAUUUUCCUUCUCAUGGAUGCAGCAACUGCACUUUGAUCCCUCCUGCAACAUCCGCCUGCCCUGAGCUAGAACAUCUCUCCCGCACCAGCUCUGUGCUGCCGGCGCAGCCUGCUCCAGCGCCCUCCUCCCCAGCUCACGACAGCCUUGUAUCGCCCUGUUGUUCAGGAUCCUCUUCUCUAUGCAUGGAUUCCAAGGGGAUUUCUGGAAGAUGUGAAUACUCCCAUUUGUAACAACUUCAUUAGUUGCACUGGAACAUGACUCAAAGUACAUAACCACUGAAAAGCCUUCCCCCCACCCCCCACCCCCAGAUUACCUGGAAAUGGAAUGUAUAUAGCAUGAAAUACAUAUACAGUAAUAAAUAAUAUGCAAAAUGCAA